CCUUUUAAGAAUUUUUAAACGAUUGCGAAGCUGUCAUACAGUCGGGUCAGAAAAUGUCAGCUGCGUGAGAACAAAAUAAUAGACGUAUUUUUGCCUAAAAUCAAUUAAAUAUCUUCUGUGUUUGUUUUCAAAAUGGGUGCAUUAACAAGUAGGCAAAAUGCUGGUGUAGAAGAAGCAGAUGUGGUGUCCAACCAUGCUUACAAAUAUCCUCCUAGAUCAGAUGAUGCAGGUAACUACUUCGGGAGUCACUUCAUCAUGGGCGGCGAGAGGUUUGACACCCCUCAGCCUGAAGCAUACUUGUUUGGAGAAAAUGCUGAUUUGAAUUUUCUAGGCAGCAGACCCACACCUUUCCCGUACCCCCCGCCACAGUCUAAUGAGCCUACGAAAACAUUAAAAAGUUUAGUGAAUAUACGCAAGGAGUCCUUACGUUUUGUCCGCUGCCCUGAGCCUGUUGGUAAGCUGGCGGAGAACAAGAUUGGAGACGGGAUGAUCAAGUCUGUGGACAAUAAUGGCAAAGGGACGUAUUACAAUAUUGAGUUCACAUUUGACUGUGAUGCGAGAUGUGCCAUUACCGUAUUUUAUUUUUGUACUGAAGAAGUUACUCCUACUGGAGUUGUUUACUACCCGCGCGACCCAGCGAUGAAUUCUCAGACAUACCACUACAAGAAGGGUGCAAACCAGCAGUUCUGUCAAAUUUCACACGUAUUCGACCCGUCUAAACAUCCUGAAGAGGACUUGGUGUAUAACGCAGACAGGGAGAUCAUACCUAUCGCCAUAUACUGUGUUGUUGACGAAGGACAGGAAGAAAUAAGGCAGUCGCACACUACGAUAGCUGUGGUGGAGAAGCACUCGGACGGCACGUACGUGCUGAAGGCGCUCAAGCAGAAGCUGUUCGUGGACGGCCUGUGCUACCUGCUGCAGGAGAUCUACGGCAUCGAGAACAAGAACCUUGAUACUAAGCCGAGUUCAGACGAGGAGACAGAGGACGGCGGGUCAGAGUGCGUGAUCUGCAUGUGCGAUGUACGCGACACGCUGAUCCUGCCGUGCCGCCACCUGUGCCUGUGCAACUCGUGCGCGGACUCGCUGCGCUACCAGGCCAACAACUGCCCCAUCUGCCGCGCGCCCUUCCGCGCGCUGCUGCAGAUCCGCGCGCUGCAGCGCCGCGCCGACUCCGCGCCGCCCGCGCCGCCGCCUACUGAUGGCAGCACCGAGAACAUCCCGGCGGGCUACGAGCCGGUGUCGCUGCUGGAGGCGCUGAACGGGCCGCACCCCGCCCGCGCGCUGCCCGCGCCGCGCCCCGCGCCCGCCAUCGCCAGCCCCGACACCGACACCGCCUCGCAGGCAGCAGAAAUUCUGAACCGCUGCAAUUUAGAGCGCAGUUCGUCCACGAGUUUGGGUAGCAGCGGCAGCAGGAAGGCCAAGAGUGGUUCCAAGGAUGACGUCAAGAGUGUACGCGACAGAUCCGCUGCACAAACUGUUACCCCUGAGUUCCGCAUGUCAGUGCUGCUGGCUCGCGAGGAGGAAGCGAAACGCGCGGAAGAGAAGGCGGCAGCUAACAGUCCGUUGUUGUACAACCAUCAUAUUGUGAAUGGAGAUAAGAUUUCGAAGUCGUCCCUGAGCCUGGAGUACGGGUGCGCGGCGGAGGCGUCGGGCUCGGAGGACGAGGCGCGAGCCCCGGCGGAGCCCGACAGCGACGCCGAGCGACUCUCGCCGCUACUCACACAGCCUACGCCUAAUGGGACGGUGUGCAGCGGCGCGGGUGUGUCCCCCAGCGGGUCUGCGCUGCGGCUGUCGGCGCCGACGCUCGCGCACAUCGACGACACCGACACCGACGAGCCCGACAACAAGCACAACUGAGCCGACUAACAAUGGAGAUUGCACUCCCCAGCGCUGGGCCUUACCGCACCACGUCACAUCACUGCCCGGAACACCUCUAAGCCAGUCCAGCGUGCGUUCAUCAGGCGACUCGUACAGCUCGACGUCGUCCACGCGGCAGC
rnacentral:misc_RNA from 1 species